GGCGACAUAGCUCAGUUGGGAGAGCGCACGACUGAAGUUCAAUACUUGCUGGAUUCCAUUCGUGCGGUCCCUGGUUCGAUCCCGGGUGGCGCCA
rnacentral:tRNA from 1 species